rnacentral:rRNA from 1 species
AUUGAACGCUGGCGGCAGGCCUAACACAUGCAAGUCGAGCGGUAGCACAGGGAGCUUGCUCCUGGGUGACGAGCGGCGGGCGGGUGAGUAAUGUCUGGGAAACUGCCUGAUGGAGGGGGAUAACUACUGGAAACGGUAGCUAAUACCGCAUAACGUCGCAAGACCAAAGAGGGGGACCUUCGGGCCUCUUGCCAUCAGAUGUGCCCAGAUGGGAUUAGCCAGUAGGUGGGGUAAUGGCUCACCUAGGCGACGAUCCCUAGCUGGUCUGAGAGGAUGACCAGCCACACUGGAACUGAGACACGGUCCAGACUCCUACGGGAGGCAGCAGUGGGGAAUAUUGCACAAUGGGCGCAAGCCUGAUGCAGCCAUGCCGCGUGUAUGAAGAAGGCCUUCGGGUUGUAAAGUACUUUCAGCGGGGAGGAAGGUGUUGAGGUUAAUAACCUCAGCAAUUGACGUUACCCGCAGAAGAAGCACCGGCUAACUCCGUGCCAGCAGCCGCCGUAA